AUUGAACGCUGGCGGCAGGCCUAACACAUGCAAGUCGAACGAGUGGCGGACGGGUGAGUAAUGUCUGGGAAACUGCCUGAUGGAGGGGGAUAACUACUGGAAACGGUAGCUAAUACCGCAUACCAUCAGAUGUGCCCAGAUGGGAUUAGCUAGUGGGUGGGGUAAAGGCUCACCAAGGCGACGAUCCCUAGCUGGUCUGAGAGGAUGACCGGCCAAACUGGAACUGAGACACGGUCCAGACUCCUACGGGAGGCAGCAGUGGGGAAUAUUGCACAAUGGGCGCAAGCCUGAUGCAGCCAUGCCGCGUGUGUGAAGAAGGCUUUCGGGUUGUAAAGCACUGUCAGCGGGGAGGCGUUACUCGCAGAAGAAGCACCGGCUAACUCCGUGCCAGCCGCCGCGGUAAUAC
rnacentral:rRNA from 1 species